CAGUUUGUGUUUUGUUUGGACCUCUGGUGCCUGCUCUCCAUCUCCUGACUGAUUUUGGGAGUCUAGCUUUUAAAUCUCCUGUGGGUUUCUUUUCAAGCUUCGGAUCUACAUUUCAAGUCUUAUUUGAGGACAUACCAGAAUCCAGCACUGGCGAGUACAAAAUCCUUUGGUAGACAACCCCACACUGCAAGAAGUGGUCCUGACAUAUGCAGGAUUGUGUAAUCGGGGACCUUUACCUUGGUCAUGAGGGAGUAGGUGGUGUCCAUAACAG